GAUGAACGCUAGCGGCAGGCUUAACACAUGCAAGUCGAGGGGUAUAGUAGCAAUACUAGAGACCGGCGCACGGGUGCGUAACGCGUAUGCAAUCUACCUUUUGCAGAGGGAUAGCCCAGAGAAAUUUGGAUUAAUACCUCAUAGUAUAAUGAGUUGGCAUCAACACAUUAUUAAAGUCACAACGGCAAAAGAUGAGCAUGCGUCCCAUUAGUUAGUUGGUAAGGUAACGGCUUACCAAGACUACGAUGGGUAGGGGUCCUGAGAGGGAGAUCCCCCACACUGGUACUGAGACACGGACCAGACUCCUACGGGAGGCAG
rnacentral:rRNA from 1 species